rnacentral:rRNA from 1 species
UGAGGAAUCUUGCGCAAUGGGGGAAACCCUGACGCAGCAACGCCGCGUGAGUGAGGAAGGUCUUCGGGUCGUAAAGCUCUGUCAGGCGGGAAGAAAUGGAUGGAGGUGAACAGCCGCCAUGCUUGACGGUACCGCCAGAGGAAGCACCGGCUAACUCCGUGCCAGCAGCCGCGGUAAUACGGGGGGUGCAAGCGUUGUUCGGAAUCAUUGGGCGUAAAGAGCGUGUAGGCGGCUUGGUAAGUCAGAUGUGAAAGCCCUGGGCUCAAC